ACCUUCCUCAUCCUCACCAUCCUCACAGCCUUCAUCUUCAGUGUCACCUUCCGCAUUCUCAUCCUCACCAUCCUCCUCGAGGCCUUCAUCUUCAGCGUCACCUUCCUCAUCCUCCCCAUCCUCUUCAUCCUCCCCAUCCUCCUCAAGGCCUUCUGCGUCACCUUCCCCAUCCUCACCAUCCUCCUCUUCCUCACCAUCCUCCUCUUCACGGUCUCCAUCAUCAUCUUCCUCCUCCUCACCAUCAUCUUCCUCCUUAGGAGCCCCACCUUGCCCUCGCUGUCACCUACUUGGUGUUGCCUUCCUCCUCACCACCCUCCUUGGAUUCUUCCCCUUCCCCCUUGAGGCCUCCAUCCUCUUCCUCCUCAGGACCUCCAUCUUCAUCCCUAGGCCCUCCAUCCUCUUCCUCCUCACCAUCUUCUUCCUCUCUGGGCUCUUCAUCCUCUUCCUCCUUCAACUCCGCCCCAUUCCUACUCAGUGUCACCUCCACCCUCUUCCUCAGCACCUCCAUCAUCACCUUCAUCUUCCUCGUCGAGGCCACCGCCUUCCUCCCCACCACACUCCUGCUCUUCCUCCUCCCCACCACCCUCCUCCUCUUCCUCGGGUUCUUCAUCCUCCUCCUUGGCUUCUUCAUCCUCAUUGCGGCCUCCAUCUUCCUCCUCACCACCCUCCUCCUCCUCGGGCCUCCCAUCUUCCUCCUUCCUCCCUCCAUCCUCUUCCUCUUUGCGUUCUUCACCCUCUUCCUUCUCCCCUCCCGCCCCAACGCACGCCGGUGGGUGACAGCAGGGACAGUCGGAGCGGUGCGAGGGUUGGGCGUCGCGGCGGGGGUUGUAGAAAUCUACAAAGGGGAAGACAGGAAACACCUGUAGGGACUACAGCUGUAGGGUGAGCAACACCUAUAGGGACAACACCUGUAGGGUGAGCAACACCUGUAGGGAGAGCAACACCUGGAGGGAUAACAGCUGUAGGGUGAACAACACCUGUAGGGAUAACAGCCGUAUGGUGAGCAACACCUGUAGGGUGAGCAACACCUAUAGGGACAACAGCUGUAGGGUGAGCAACACCUGUAAGGGGAACAGUUGGAGGGGGGUGAUGGUUGGGUGUUGGGUUGUAGAAGUCUAUAAAGGGGAAGACAGGAAACACCUGUAGGGACAACACCCAUAGGAUGAGCAACACCUGUAGGGACAACACGUGUAGGGUGAGCAACACCUGUAAGGGGAACAGUUGGAGGGGGGUGAUGGUUGGGUGUUGGGUUGUAGAAGUCCGUAAAGGGGAAGACAGGAAACACCUGUAGGGACUACAGCUGUAGGAUGAACAACAUGAGCAACACCUGUAGAAUGAGCAACACCCGUAGGGGAAACAGACGUAGGGUGAGCGACACCCAUAGGGGGGAACAGUUGGAGGGGGGUGAUGGUUGGGUGUUGGGUUGUAGAAAGCUACAAAGGGGAAGGCAGGGAACACCCGUAGGGACAACAGCCCUAGGGACAACACCCAUAGGGUGAGCAACACCUGUAGGGGGAACAGUCGGAGGGGGUGAUGGUUGGGUGUUGGGUUGCAGAAAUCUACAAAGGGGAAGGCAGGAAACACCCGUAGAGGGACAACAGCUGUAGGACCACCGCCUGUAGGACCAGGAGGACCAGGGACAGUCAGAGAGGGGUGUGGUGGUGGGGUACGGGGUGUAGGGUUGUUGAAAUCUACAUGGAGAAGACACCGAACACCCGUAGGACCACCACCGCCUGUAGGACACCACCCACGUGGUGACCACCACCACCCAUAGGGUGACCACCAACCAUGGGGGGACCACCACCACCACCUGUGGAGUGACUGUCAUCACCUGUAGGACCACCACCACCCAUAGGUGACCCCCUACCAUAGGGUGACCCCCACCA
ensembl:lncRNA